GGGAGUAACUAUUGGAAACGAUAGCUAAUACCGCAUAAUAGUAGUUGUUGCAUGACAACUGUUUGAAAGGUGCAAUUGCAUCACUACCAGAUGGACCUGCGUUGUAUUAGCUAGUUGGUGGGGUAACGGCUCACCAAGGCGACGAUACAUAGCCGACCUGAGAGGGUGAUCGGCCACACUGGGACUGAGACACGGCCCAG
rnacentral:rRNA from 1 species